AGAGUUUGAUCCUGGCUCAGGACGAACGCUGGCGGCGUGCUUAACACAUGCAAGUCGAACGGAAAGGCCCCCACUUUUUUGGUGGGGGUGCUCGAGUGGCGAACGGGUGAGUAACACGUGGGUGAUCUGCCCUGUACUUCGGGAUAAGCUUGGGAAACUGGGUCUAAUACCGGAUAGGACCAUGGUUUAGUGUCUCAUGGUGGAAAAAUUAUUGUUUUGGUGCAGGAUGAGCUCGCGGCCUAUCAGCUUGUUGGUGGGGUAAUGGCCUACCAAGGCGUCGACGGGUAGCCGGCCUGAGAGGGUGGACGGCCACAUUGGGACUGAGAUACGGCCCAGACUCCUACGGGAGGCAGCAGUGGGGAAUAUUGCACAAUGGGCGCAAGCCUGAUGCAGCGACGCCGCGUGGGGGAUGACGGCCUUCGGGUUGUAAACUCCUUUCGUUAGGGACGAAGCCACACCUUUUUUUGGGUGUGGUGACGGUACCUUUGUUAAGAAGCACCGGCUAACUACGUGCCAGCAGCCGCGGUAAUACGUAGGGUGCGAGCGUUGUCCGGAAUUACUGGGCGUAAAGAGCUCGUAGGUGGUUUGUUGCGUCGUCUGUGAAAUUCCGGGGCUUAACUUCGGGGUGGCAGGCGAUACGGGCAUAACUAGAGUGCUGUAGGGGAGACUGGAAUUCCUGGUGUAGCGGUGGAAUGCGCAGAUAUCAGGAGGAACACCGAUGGCGAAGGCAGGUCUCUGGGCAGUAACUGACGCUGAGGAGCGAAAGCAUGGGGAGCGAACAGGAUUAGAUACCCUGGUAGUCCAUGCUGUAAACGGUGGGCGUUAGGUGUGGGGACCGGUUUGGUUUCUGUGCCGUAGCUAACGCAUUAAGCGCCCCGCCUGGGGAGUACGGAAACUCAAAGGAAUUGACGGGGGCCCGCACAAGCGGCGGAGCAUGUGGAUUAAUUCGAUGCAACGCGAAGAACCUUACCUGGGUUUGACAUGCACCAGACGGUUGUAGAGAUACGUACCUCCCUUUGUGGUUGGUGUGCAGGUGGUGCAUGGUUGUCGUCAGCUCGUGUCGUGAGAUGUUGGGUUAAGUCCCGCAACGAGCGCAACCCUUGUCUUAUGUUGCCAGCACUUUGGGUGGGGACUCAUGAGAGACUGCCGGGGUUAACUCGGAGGAAGGUGGGGAUGACGUCAAAUCAUCAUGCCCUUUAUGCCCAGGGCUUCACACAUGCUACAAUGGUUAGUACAACGCGCAGCAAACCUGUGAGGGUGAGCGAAUCGCUGAAAGCUAAUCUCAGUUCGGAUUGGGGUCUGCAACUCGACCCCAUGAAGUCGGAGUCGCUAGUAAUCGCAGAUCAGCAAUGCUGCGGUGAAUACGUUCCCGGGCCUUGUACACACCGCCCGUCACGUCAUGAAAGUUGGUAACACCCGAAGCCCAUGGCCUAACCACCAUUUUUUGGUGGGGGGAGUGGUCGAAGGUGGGAUUGGCGAUUGGGACGAAGUCGUAACAAGGUAGCCGUACCGGAAGGUGCGGCUGG
rnacentral:rRNA from 1 species